rnacentral:rRNA from 1 species
UACAGAGGGGGCAAGCGUUGUUCGGAAUUACUGGGCGUAAAGGGCGCGUAGGUGGCCUUCUAAGUUGAACGUGAAAUCCCUGGGCUCAACCCAGGAACUGCGUCCAAGACUGGGAGGCUUGAAUCCGGGAGAGGGAUGCGGAAUUCCAGGUGUAGCGGUGAAAUGCGUAGAGAUCGGCAGGAACACCAAGGACGAAGGUAACCACCUGGGCAUCAGCUGACACUCAUGUGCGACAGCGUGGGGAGCGAACCGG